GGCACAGUGAGAGGAAACUAACACAAGGAAUGAGCAAAAUGGAACUGAUUUUGAUAAAGGGCAUUAAUUUUUUGUCAACUUUCUUAUUCUCUGACACACCACGGACCAAGAUAGACCGGAAGGGAAAUCUACCCCUCACAAGGAGGAAGAUACAAUAGGGGAAAUAUUCCACGAGGAUGCUUUGAUUUUUCUUUACGACACGCCAU